GAUGAAGAACGUAGCGAAAUGCGAUAAGUAGUGUGAAUUGCAGAAUUCAGUGAAUCAUCGAAUCUUUGAACGCACAUUGCGCCCCUUGGUAUCCCGAGGGGCAUGCCUGUUCGAGCGUCAUUUCACCACUCAAGGCUGGCUUGGUGUUGGGCGACGUCCUCUUUGGGGACGCGCCUCGAAACGCUCGGCGGCGUGGCACCGGCUUUAAGCGUAGCAGAAUCUUUCGCUUUGGAAGUCGGGGCCCCGUCUGCCGGAAGACCUGCUCGCAAGGUUGACCUCGGAUCAGGCAGGGAUACCCGCUGAACUUAAGCAUAUCAAUAAGGGAGGA
rnacentral:misc_RNA from 1 species